GCCUAACACAUGCAAGUCGAACGGCAGCACAGAGGAGCUUGCUCCUUGGGUGGCGAGUGGCGGACGGGUGAGGAAUACAUCGGAAUCUACUCUGUCGUGGGGGAUAACGUAGGGAAACUUACGCUAAUACCGCAUACGACCUACGGGUGAAAGCAGGGGAUCUUCGGACCUUGCGCGAUUGAAUGAGCCGAUGUCGGAUUAGCUAGUUGGCGGGGUAAAGGCCCACCAAGGCGACGAUCCGUAGCUGGUCUGAGAGGAUGAUCAGCCACACUGGAACUGAGACACGGUCCAGACUCCUACGGGAGGCAGCAGUGGGGAAUAUUGGAUAAUGGGCGCAAGCCUGAUCCAGCCAUACCGCGUGGGUGAAGAAGGCCUUCGGGUUGUAAAGCCCUUUUGUUGGGAAAGAAAUCCAACUGGUUAAUACCCGGUUGGGAUGACGGUACCCAAAGAAUAAGCACCGGCUAACUUCGUGCCAGCAGCCGCGGUAAUACGAAGGGUGCAAGCGUUACUCGGAAUUACUGGGCGUAAAGCGUGCGUAGGUGGUUAUUUAAGUCCGUUGUGAAAGCCCUGGGCUCAACCUGGGAACUGCAGUGGAUACUGGAUGACUAGAAUGUGGUAGAGGGUAGCGGAAUUCCUGGUGUAGCAGUGAAAUGCGUAGAGAUCAGGAGGAACAUCCAUGGCGAAGGCAGCUACCUGGAC
rnacentral:rRNA from 1 species